rnacentral:rRNA from 1 species
GGAUUAAUUUAUUGGUCGUGCUAUUGUACGUACUGGUAUUAUUGAUUCCUACCUUCUGACGAACCAUGAUGUCAUUAAUUUGGUGUCAUGGGGAAUCAGGACUGUUACUUUGAAAAAAUUAGAGUGUUCAAAGCAGGCCUUUGCUCGAAUAUGUUAGCAUGGAAUAAUAAAACAGGACGU